GACGAACGCUGGCGGCGUGCUUAAUACAUGCCAGUCGAACGGAAAGGCCCUGCUCUUGCUGGGUGCUCGUGAGGCGAACGGGGGAGUAUCACGCGUGUAUCCCCCACCUGUCUUUCGGAUAACACUACGAAAAACGGGCGCAUAUCGCGUAUGAUCUCUUGCAGCGCGGGGUUCGUUGGUAAGAUUCGGCGGUUGGGUCUGGUUUCGCGGCUUAUCCGCUUGUUGGUGGGGUAGUGGCUUACCAAGGCUUCGACGGAUAGCCGGCCUGAGAGGGUGACCGGCCACAUUGGGACUGCGGUACGGCCCAGACUGCAACGGGAGGCAGCAGUGGGGAAUCUUGCAGAGUGGGCGGAAGCCUGAUGCAGCAACGCCGCGUGCGGGAUAACGGCCUUCGGGUUGUAAACCGCUGUCGAAUGUGACGAAGCGUGAGUGACGGUAAUGGGUAAGAAAGCACCGGCUAACUACGUG
rnacentral:rRNA from 1 species